GGCAUUAGCUCAGUUGGGAGAGCGCUUGACUGGCAGUCAAGAGGCCAAGGGUUCAAGUCCCUUAUGCUCC
rnacentral:tRNA from 2 species